GAUGAACGCUGGCGGCGUGCCUAAUACAUGCAAGUCGAGCGAACAGACGAGGAGCUUGCUCCUCUGACGUUAGCGGCGGACGGGUGAGUAACACGUGGAUAACCUACCUAUAAGACUGGGAUAACUUCGGGAAACCGGAGCUAAUACCGGAUAACAUGUUUAACCGCAUGGUUCAACAGUGAAAGACGGUCUUGCUGUCACUUAUAGAUGGAUCCGCGCCGCAUUAGCUAGUUGGUAAGGUAACGGCUUACCAAGGCAACGAUGCGUAGCCGACCUGAGAGGGUGAUCGGCCACACUGGAACUGAGACACGGUCCAGACUCCUACGGGAGGCAGCAGUAGGGAAUCUUCCGCAAUGGGCGAAAGCCUGACGGAGCAACGCCGCGUGAGUGAAGAAGGUCUUCGGAUCGUAAAACUCUGUUAUUAGGGAAGAACAAAUGUGUAAGUAACUAUGCACGUCUUGACGGUACCUAAUCAGAAAGCCACGGCUAACUACGUG
rnacentral:rRNA from 1 species